GGGGGAUUAGCUCAAGUGGUAGAGCACUCGCUUAGCAUGCGAGAGGUUGUGGGAUCGCUGCCCACAUUCUCCA
rnacentral:tRNA from 1 species